rnacentral:rRNA from 1 species
UACGUAGGUGGCAAGCGUUGUCCGGAAUUACUGGGUGUAAAGCGCGUGUAGGCGGGAGGCCAAGUCUGCUGUGAAAUCGCUCGGCUCAACUGGGCGGGGUCGGUGGAAACUGGUCACCUGGAGGACGGUAGAGGCGAGUGGAAUUCCCGGUGUAGUGGUGAAAUGCGUAGAGAUCGGGAGGAACACCAGUGGCGAAGGCGGCUCGCUGGGCCGGUCCUGACGCUGAGACGCGAAGGCGUGGGGAGCGAACGAG